AACGAACGCUGGCGGCAGGCUUAACACAUGCAAGUCGAACGCGUGCAGCAAUGCACGAGUGGCGCACGGGUGAGUAACGAGUGGAUAUCUGCCUUUUGGUUCGGAAUAACCCCGGGAAACUGGGGCUAAUACCGGAUGGUUCCUACGGGAUAAAGAUUUAUCGCCAAAAGAUGAGUCCGCGUCCGAUUAGCUAGUUGGUGAGGUAAUGGCUCACCAAGGCGACGAUCGGUAGCUGGUCUGAGAGGACGAUCAGCCACACUGGGACUGAGACACGGCCCAGACUCCUACGGGAGGCAGCAGUGGGGAAUAUUGGACAAUGGGGGCAACCCUGACCCAGCCAUGCCGCGUGAGUGAUGAAGGCCUUCGGGUUGUAAAGCUCUUUUGGCGGGGACGAUGAUGACGGUACCCGCAGAAUAAGCCCCGGCUAACUUCGUG
rnacentral:rRNA from 1 species